rnacentral:rRNA from 1 species
ACGAACGCUGGCGGCGUGCUUAACACAUGCAAGUCGAGCGGUAAGGCCCUUCGGGGUACACGAGCGGCGAACGGGUGAGUAACACGUGGGUGAUCUGCCCUGUACUUCGGGAUAAGCCUGGGAAACUGGGUCUAAUACCGGAUAUGACCUUGGACUGCAUGGUCUUUGGUGGAAAGAUUUAUCGGUACAGGAUGGGCCCGCGGCCUAUCAGCUUGUUGGUGGGGUAAUGGCCUACCAAGGCGACGACGGGUAGCCGGCCUGAGAGGGCGACCGGCCACACUGGGACUGAGACACGGCCCAGACUCCUACGGGAGGCAGCAGUGGGGAAUAUUGCACAAUGGGCGGAAGCCUGAUGCAGCGACGCCGCGUGAGGGAUGACGGCCUUCGGGUUGUAAACCUCUUUCGACAGGGACGAAGCGCAACUGACGGUACCUGUAGAAGAAGCACCGGCCAACUACGU